rnacentral:rRNA from 1 species
GAUGAACGCUGGCGGCGUGCCUAAUACAUGCAAGUCGAGCGAACAGAUGAGAAGCUUGCUUCUCUGAUGUUAGCGGCGGACGGGUGAGUAACACGUGGGUAACCUACCUAUAAGACUGGGAUAACUCCGGGAAACCGGGGCUAAUACCGGAUAAUAUUUUGAACCGCAUGGUUCAAUAGUCAAAGACGGUUUCGGCUGGCACUUAUAGAUGGACCUGCGCCGUAUUAGCUAGUUGGUAAGGUAACGGCUUACCAAGGCGACGAUACGUAGCUGACCUGAGAGGGUGAUCGGCCACACUGGAACUGAGACACGGUCCAGACUCCUACGGGAGGCGGCAGUAGGGAAUCUUCCGCAAUGGGUGAAAGCCUGACGGAGCAACGCCGCGUGAGUGAUGAAGGUCUUCGGAUCGUAAAACUCUGUUGUUAGGGAAGAACAAAUUUGUUAGUAACUGAACAGGUUUUGACGGUACCUAACCAGGAAGCCACGGCUAACUACGUGCCAGCAGCCGCAGUAA